rnacentral:rRNA from 1 species
AGCGGCGGACGGGUGAGUAACGCGUGGGUAACCUGCCUCAUACAGGGGGAUAACAGUUGGAAACGACUGCUAAUACCGCAUAAGCGCACAGUACCGCAUGGUACCGUGUGAAAAACUCCGGUGGUAUGAGAUGGACCCGCGUCUGAUUAGCUAGUUGGUGGGGUAACGGCCUACCAAGGCGACGAUCAGUAGCCGGCCUGAGAGGGUGAACGGCCACAUUGGGACUGAGACACGGCCCAA